GACCCGUAAAUCAAUACUACAGUAAAUCCAUUUCAUUACGCCACCAUUGCAUAUUGUAACGCUUCUGGGCUGGGGGGAAGCUCAGGAGGGACACAACUGAAAGACAGCAGGUGAUUGUGGACCAGGAACAUACAGAAUGUGGACCAGAUCUGGCCCACACUCAGAACGGAUGUAUUCCAGUGUGUGCUGCUCUGGGCAGUGGAGGGAAGAUGGCUGACACGGCGAUGGUUGCGGAAUCAGAGGCCUGCCUGUUUAUCAGCAGGAGCAUAUGCUCCGCAGCCGGCCCCUCCACCCCACCCCAUGGCUGGACAGACUCCCACAGAGGGCACAGGCCUCCGGCCCAGCUCUGGACCUCAUCCGGCCCACAGCUGCCAGGCCUCAGCCAGAUCUGCAACAGAGCCAGAUGCUGUCUGGAGGAUUCCACCGAGUGCAACUAAAGAUUUGAAACUUCCCCAGCCUCCAUGCCAGGGGACUCCUAGACAGGGAUUGGACUCGUGAAAAAGAUGGAUUCAUCUGGCCACUGACGUCACCACACCCAUCCAUUUCUAAAGGUGGAAUACAUUAACCAAAACCUGGGCUCGAACUCGCCAGGGAAUGAAACAUUACACCACACUCAGGAGACCGCCACUUACCCAUACCAACCCUCCCAAUCCAAUUUGUGCAACUAAUGAUUGAAGGGGAAAUUGAGUAUGGUAAAUGUAAUAACCACCCAGGUCUCUAAUGAGAUGAGUUGGCCCAGGCCAGCUACUAUAAAUGCCUUUGCCCCAACUACUACUGUGAACCAAUCUGUGAUGCAUUAUGGUGAAAUACAGAGCUUUUAAAAAUACAUGGAGGCAGAGUGUUUUCAAAAAAAAAAUCUUGCCCCCACACACUUUCACACUCUCUCUCUUACACACACACGUACACACAGAUAUAGCAGGCUAUGCACUGCUAGGCUAGACAUGGGCACAUGUUGAAUGGCUGUGCAGUUGUUUGAAGUUUGCAGCGUUGAGACUGCUGAAUGUUCGCUCUCAGUGGGGGACCGGGUUUUUUUUUGCUACAGGCAGCUGGCAGGUUGACUUAACACUCUGCUUAAAUUGACUGCAGCUCUUCCUACUCCCUUGGGUGUGUGUGUGUGUGUGUGUGUGUGUGUGUGUGUGUGUGUGUGUGCGUGUGUGUGAGUUUGUUUGACGCUUCAUCCUGACCAUGCCCCAAGUUGAAUAGACAGCUUGGGCGCCCAUGUCUAACCUCCAGGUUGUGAGUCUGCAUCCUUCAUCCAUGCAUGCAGCCAAAUCCUCACGACUACUCAUUCUAACGGAACGCCGCUUGAUUACACAAAAGCCAUCAUUUGUGAUGGUUUUAUUUUUAAGGGAAACUUUUUAAAGGAUUUUUAGGUGGCAAAUUUUACUGCAGGUUGCACUGAAGGAGACAAAGAUGGUAAUGCAUUAUUUGUCAAAAUCGUGCCAA